CCGGCUGGCGGUGGGCGGCCGCGCCCUCCCGGAACAGCCUCCUUCGGCCCCGCACGGUCGCGCGCGGAGCCUGCAGCCCGGGACUCGCGGCCUCGGCCGGUUCCUGCCGCAGUUAAACUAAAAACACGCAUUUUUAAAAGGCGCUAAAGCGCUGCGCCAGUGCCGGCCCCCGGCAAGCGCAGUCCGCCCGCGCGGCCCUCCCCGGCUCUCCGCGGACGCGGGAACUUAAGGGAGGCGCGCGCCCGGGGCUCCGCUCGGGACGGCUCUCUUGGUUCUGCUGGUUCUGACUUCUGGUGGCGCCAGGCUGUUGGCCGUGCACUGCUGAUGGUUCUUUAGAACUCAGGAUUCAUGCUGCUGUGUUUCCACCUGAGAAACAGUUGAUUUCGACAUCGGCUGGAAACCCUGAAGCAGUGACAGGGACCCUCAAGGCCCACAGGACAUGGCCUGCCAUCUAAUUUAACGUUUGUUGUGCAGCACGGGGAGCAGGACAGCGAAGGGAGCUUUGCUCUUCUGAGAAGAGGACCGUCCUGAAGGCGAGCGGAGGCGGCCGGUCCAGGCGCCGCACCUGCCCACCACUUGGUACCGGAGCGCCCCUGGCUGCGGGGCGGGGCGG